CACUGUUGCUACAAAACUGGGACGUGGGCAGAAUGCAGUUGACGACCUCUCUUAUAUAAUAUAAACCCUUGCAACCAAAUAUCCACCUCCAUACAUCCUUCUGUUUGUUUGCAGUACAAUUCGCCUGUAACCUCCGUAUACAACCAACAGUUAUCGCCCAAUAUCUGAUUGAUAAUCAAGAAAUAUGGCGAUGUCGAGGGCGAGCUCUUGCUUUGCACACCCUUAUCGUUUCUUCACCGUUGUUGCUUAUGCGGGAUUUGGUGCUCCCCCAAUUCAUCAUCCAAAGGGUCACCUCCAAAUUCUCUAUCGAAGUCGCUUAGUUACGUUACGCCCUUUGUGAGCAGCUCCAUCAUCAGAAAGGAAGUUCAAGAAGAUGAAGACCUUCAAUUAUCAAUGGCAGUUGCUCUACUCUUCUUCUCCUUCCUUCUCAGUAGUCAUUGUCGAAGAACAAGGGCACCAAUUGAGGCCGACUUUGUAUCACCUCUGCCAAGAGUAUUAACGUUCACCACACAUGUCUCACCAGUUGAUGUCGGCGCCAUCUUGUGUUUGUUUGUAACUAGCAAUUGACCGCUUCUUCAAGAGCUUGCCAAGCACGGGGGCUAUCAACUACUUAUAACUAACUGAGCGAAUUAUUUGUAUGUCUUCGGAAACUUUUGGGAAAAUCACAUACCAGGCCUGCCAUUGAGAUUGCUAAUGAAUUGAAUUCUCUAUACUUACUUGCUAACUAUAUUGAGGUUAAUUUUUUCGGUUGUUACUUUGCCUAUUAUUUUGUAGAUAUAUGUUGAGUUCAACAUUUAUAUUUAGGAUUUGUAGUCUCUGCAUUUAAAAUACAAAUGUAAUGUU